rnacentral:rRNA from 1 species
UUCCGUAGGGUGAACCUGCGGAGGGAUCAUUACCGAGUUUACAACUCCCAAACCCAAUGUGAACGUUACCAAACUGUUGCCUCGGCGGGAUCUCUGCCCCGGGUGCGUCGCAGCCCCGGACCAAGGCGCCCGCCGGAGGACCAACCAAAACUCUUUUUGUAUACCCCCUCGCGGGUUUUUUAUAAUCUGAGCCUUCUCGGCGCCUCUCGUAGGCGUUUCGAAAAUGAAUCAAAACUUUCAACAACGGAUCUCUUGGUUCUGGCAUCGAUGAAGAACGCAGCGAAAUGCGAUAAGUAAUGUGAAUUGCAGAAUUCAGUGAAUCAUCGAAUCUUUGAACGCACAUUGCGCCCGCCAGUAUUCUGGCGGGCAUGCCUGUCCGAGCGUCAUUUCAACCCUCGAACCCCUCCGGGGGGUCGGCGUUGGGGAUCGGCCCUCCCUUAGCGGGUGGCCGUCUCCGAAAUACAGUGGCGGUCUCGCCGCAGCCUCUCCUGCGCAGUAGUUUGCACACUCGCAUCGGGAGCGCGGCGCGUCCACAGCCGUUAAACACCCAACUUCUGAAAUGUGACCUCGAUCAAGAGUACUAAAGUA